GUUAUUUCGAGCUGCGACUCAAUUAGGUUUAGCCGUCUUAGGGUUGCUAGAACUAGGAAUCUCGCCGACAGCUCUCGAGCCCAGGCUUAUACCUUGUUAUAUCCGGGUCCUCUGGGAAACUAGGGUUUUCUUAGUUUCCUUAUUUAAACGGAAAUCGACAGUGCGAAUUUCGGUUCCCACAUCGGGUUUGUCAGACGGCCUAUAAGGGUGAGAGCAUUAUCCCGUAUCAGUUCAGAGGGGUUGAACUCUGGAGCUCGGAUUCUCAAGCGGUGUGGUUCGGCUUGAUUUGCAGCAAUGAUUUUGCCUUUUUCCUCAAUGGUGAACCGUCUUUCCAUCUUACAGCCGGUUAUGAAGUAGCAGAGAAAAGUAACGAUGAUAAUCUCGAGUUAUAGAGAAAGCAGCGACAGUAACCAGCAGAAGAGCAAGGGGGGGGGGGGGGGGGGGGGGGGGGGGAAGUAGAAACAAAGGAGCGUAGGGCUGUCUUCUACUCAAGACUUCCGUUCGAAAGAGUUUCAGUCGACUCCGAAGUUCGAUCUUAAGCAGUGAAGAAAGCUAGUCGUCGGCUUCUGUGAGGGUCUUCUAUAUCCUCCAUUAGCUCACAACCAAAGUAAAUCGUCGUCGAGGAAGUAAUCGAGAGCCGGUUCACCGGCGGAGGACGAAAGAGCUGACGGUUAAUAACUAGUGACUACAGGGGAUCAGCAAGUUUUACUGAGAAAGGAAGGUGCGUUUGAAAAACUUGAGGGACUUGCAGGUAAUCUUACUAAAACUGGUAAGUCAACUUCGAAACCAUUUUAAGAACCAGUGGGUAAAGAUUUUUCUAGUUUAAAGCGCCAGAGAGAAAAGAGAGAGUGUUUGGAAAGCAUAUUAGAUUAAAAAUCAUCUAUAUUAUAGAAUUUUUUUUUAUUCUUCGGUUUCAUUGCUUCAUCGCCCAAUUUGAUUAUAUUAUUUAUAUAUAUGUAUGUGUGUGGGUGUAUUACACCCAAAAAAAAAGGUGCGAAUACUAAGAUGCAUAUUCGAACUUUGAGGAUUGAUGUUUUUGACUCUUAGGACACACAUACGAUGGACCCCGGCGUCUUUGGUCCACAUUAGCUUCAUUCGAGUAUGGAUAAGAGAAAGAAAUUUUCCUGAUUUAUAUAAUUUCUGUUUCAUGUUUCAACGAAGUUCUCCUUCAUUAAUUAUAUUUUGGAAUCAGUUAUGCUUUCCUCGUUUUUUUUUUUCAAAAAUCAAAAUCAAAAUCAAAAUCGUCACGAGGUUGGGAACUUGGGAUAUUGCCACAAAAUGGUUCGAAAGAGGUGACGUGAAGAUUUGAGAUUGAGAUAAAUUCACAUCCACACAAAAUACAUCGUCUAUCCAUGAUAUUGAUAACACUUAUCGUUCGCAGCUGUCUAUAUCUACCAAAGAUGCUAUUUCAUUUAAGUUACUUGCACGUAACUCUAACUCCCAACAACGACAUUAUCAGAUUUUAGCAAUGUUGCUUAGGUGGUCUCGCCUCAAAUGAAUCUCCAACUAACAAAACCAGUGACUGCAGAAGAAGUGAAAUGUAGUAUUUUUCCUAUUGGUGCUACACGUGCCUCUUGACCUGAUGGAUUUACAGUUUCUUUCUACCAACAUUAUUGGGAUGUCGUUUGUCCGAAUAUCGUAGCGGAGGUCCAAAGUUUACUUGAUACAAUGAUACUUACUUUAAUUGAUAAACCACAAAUGGAUCAAACUUAGCAUAAAUUAUAAAUUUAUAGUGGGAAAGGAAAACAAUACAUUUAUUUUAGAUUUUAAUAAUACAAUGGCUGGGUUCGCAAUAAGACAAAGGCGUUGGUAGUAACUUGUAAGCUGUGCAAGAAUCCAACGAAGACAGGUAUAUGACUUCACUGACAAGGGCAUUUCGUUGAUCUUAAGCAAGUGGCACUAUAUCAUUUAUGUGACUUUGGUCAACACCAUAAUACCAGUGGAAUGAAUAUCACAGAUCAAAGCAUUUUUUUAAUACGUAACUCUGUUUUUACCUGAACCAAACUGUCCUGGUGCGUGUAAUAACGUGUACGUAAGUUUGUAUUUUAGUUCUGUUUCCUAGAUAAUCACGAUGAGGCUUUUAUUAUCAUUGUGAAUUUUAAUGGUAUGCGAGUCAGGUAACACAAGCACAUCAUAUGUUUGUGGCUAUUAGAAAAAAAAACAAAAAAAAAACAGAGCAGGUAACCCUGCUACUUAUCUGUACUUUAUGGACAAAACUUAGGUUCCCUCUCUAUGGUGAAUUUUUAAAUUCACCAUCCCUCUUAUAACCAAUUAAAUUAUCACAUAAAUAAUCAAUAAAAAAUAUUAAAUUUUAUUUAAAAAAUUUAAAAUAGUUGAAAAAAGAAUGAUGCCUAGCAAAACUUUAAAUCCUAAAUUCUGAACCCUAAAGCUAAAUAUAACCCCUAAAUACUAAACCCAAACUCUAGACCUUAAACAUAAAUAGUAAACCCUAAACCCAAACUCUAUACUAUAAACCUAAAUCCUAAAUCCUAAACCUUAAACUCAAAUCCUAAACCCUAAAUCCAAACCGCAAAACUCUAAACCCAAACCCUCAAACUGUAAACCUUAAACCCAAAUUCAAAUCUUUUGGGUUUAGGGUUUAGGGUUUAGGGUUUACGGUUUAGGUUUAGGAACUAGGAUUCAGGUUUAAUAUAUAAAGUUUGGGUUUAAGGGUUUAUGGUUUAGGAUUUGGGUUUAGGAUAUAGGGUUUGAGUUUGGGUUUAUGAUCUAGAGUUUGGAUUUAAGAUUUAGGGUUUAGAGUUUGGAUUUAGGAUUUACGGUUUAGAGUUUGAGUUUAAAAUUUAGGGUUUAGAAUUUAAGAUUUAGGAUUUUGUUAGUGACAUCAUUUACUUUUUUCAAUUAUUUUUUAUUUUUUUUUAAAAAAAAUUAAUAUUUUUAUUAAUAAUCUAGCUGAAACUUUAAUUUAGGGAGUGAACCUAAGUUUUGUUUGUACUUUAAUAUGUAUUCUGGGUUAUUUCCUUAGCUGUAAGUGAAUAAAAAUAGUUCCAUCUUUAAAAGCUACUAAAACAUUCAGAGUGUGAUUCGUUAGCAUUGUUAGAGUAAACAAAAGAGGUGGAAAAAUUUAUUACUCUUGUUUACUCUAAAAAUUUGCAAUUCAAAUAAAAAUGUCGAGUGGUACGGUGGACUUGGAAAUAUUAUAAGCAAUUCGCGAUUUACAAAUUUAAAUUUAUUUGUUAUUGUGGCGAAAUGAUAUGAAUAUCUAAUUUUCAUUGCGAGCAACCAAGUCUGUCUGGCACCGAUAGACAAACCUCCAGAAAACUAGUCGGUUGAAACUCGAUCCGUUGAAUAUAGCGGAUUAUUAAAAGAAAAUAUAAAUAUUUUUCCUAUAAGUUACUGUAGUUGCUGUUUACACAAAAGAAAAUAUAUAUUCAUUGUUACUUUAAGUUUGAUGGGAGUAAAACUAUUCUUUUUUUCUUUUUCGUUUCUUUCUCAUUUUAUAUUUCUACUUAUUUCUACUUUUGAUAUUCCUCUCUUUUAUUCUAUAAACUAUCAGUCACAUCCUCAGUCUUUUUUUGGUUUCUUUUUUCUUCUUUUGUUACUUUAACCAUUGUUCAAAUAGUUUUGAGAUCAUAAACUAACUUUCAAAUUUCCUAUUUAAAAAUAGAGCUUACUGGGGGAAAGCAUAAACACAACUACAAGUAGAUUUAGGCCGUCAGGUCUAGUUUUUGUUUGGCCAGAUAUGAGUCUAUAAGAGCACCCGCAAUGGAAAUUCUUAAGGGAGAGUUCUUAGA